rnacentral:rRNA from 1 species
UACGUAGGGAGCAAGCGUUGUUCGGAUUUACUGGGCGUAAAGGGCGCGUAGGCGGCGCGGUAAGUCACCUGUGAAAUCUCUGAGCUUAACUCAGAACGGCCAAGUGAUACUGCAGUGCUAGAGUGCAGAAGGGGCAAUCGGAAUUCUUGGUGUAGCGGUGAAAUGCGUAGAUAUCAAGAGGAACACCUGAGGUGAAGACGGGUUGCUAGGCUGACACUGACGCUGAGGCGCGAAAGCCAGGGGAGCGAACGGG